rnacentral:rRNA from 1 species
AUGCCAGGUGUUAUACCGGUAGCUUCAGGUGGUAUUCAUGUUUGGCAUAUGCCAGCUCUGACCGAAAUCUUUGGGGACGAUUCUGUAUUACAAUUUGGUGGAGGAACUUUAGGACAUCCUUGGGGAAAUGCACCUGGUGCAGCAGCUAAUCGAGUGGCUUUAGCCGGACAAAUUGAUAAGUCUGGCAUUCCCAGCCCACCAAGCAAAGCCGGUGGUUUCUUGGUCACGACCAGCUAA